GCUGGGAGCAGUGGCACAUGCCUGUAAUCCCAACAUCUUGGGAGGCUGAGGCAGGAGGAUAGCAAGUUCAAAGCCAGCCUCAGUGAAUUAGCAAGGCCCAAAGCAAUUGUGAGACCCUGUCUCAC
rnacentral:sRNA from 1 species